UACAGAGGAGCCAAGCGUUGUCCGGAUUGACUGGGCGUAAAGCGCACGCAGGCGGAUGCGCGCGUGGGGUGUGAAAUCUGGCCGCUUAACGGCCAGGCGCCAUCCCAUACGGCGCGUCUGGAGUGAUGCAGAGGUCGGUGGAAUUGCCGGUGUAGUGGCGAAAUGCGUAGAGAUCGGCAGGAACACCCAGGGGGAAACCAGCCGACUGGGCAUCUACUGACGCUGAGGUGCGAGAGCGUGGGGAGCGAACCGG
rnacentral:rRNA from 1 species